ensembl:lncRNA
ACCCCCAAAAGACUCUGUAAAUCUGCUAUCAGCAAUUAUAAGGCACUCCUCCAAAAACCAGAUAUGCACUCUUGGUUAAGAACCAUAUCGUCAGACAAUACCUAGCCAAGGCCCAUGCCUGCCUUGGUCUUCAGCAAAUUCUUCGAGGAGUCAGAAGAGCUGAAGCAGAUCAGGCAGUAGCUGUGGAUGUGGCCACCGCCCCUCGCCAUCAAGGGAAAGCAGCAGAUAAGCGGUACCCACAGAACCUGUGACUCGAGUUCAAUCCCUGGUCGGGGAACUAAGCUUCCAAACGCCGGAGGGCAGCUGAAACCAUGCACCGCAACUACCAGCCCAGGCACUGGAAAGCCCACGCGAGAGCCUGCCCGCCUCAGUCAAAGUUCCUGCAAGUCAAAGCGAGGAUCCUGAGU